CUGGGAGAGGAUGGGGACAGGGAUGGGAUGGGGACAGGGAGAGGAUGGGGACAGGGAAAGGAUGGGGACAGGGACGGGAAUGGGGACAGGGACAGAAAUGGGGACAGGAUGGGGACAGGGACAGGAUGGGGACAGGGACAGGAUGGGGACAGGGACAGGAUGGGGUCAGGGACAGGGGCAGGAUGGGGACAGGGACAAUCCCUGUCCCCCUGUCCCCAGGAGCCACAUCAGGGGCUGCAACCAGCACCAGGAACUUGCGGAGCGGACAGCGCUGGGGAGGGUCCAGGGGAAACUGGGAGGGACUGGAAGAGACUGGGGGGGACUGGGAGGUCACGACCCCUCCUGAGGCCCCAAAAAGGAGCCCCCCAGGAUGGCCGCGGAGCCUUUGUGGGGACGAAUCCCCCCAGUCCCCCCCAGGGGACUCUGCCACCCAUGGGGGGGGUGUCAAGGGUGUAACCCCCCCCCAGGGACCCCUCCUGCGAUGCCCUAAUAAAGCUGUGAACCCAACCUCUGUGUCUCCACCUAAAAUCAUUUUUUUGGGGGUCCAAAAAAUCAGCCCAAAGUGGUGCUGAAUUGCUGAUGUUGUUGCCAGUCCCAAUUCCCUGGGAAAUCAGCCCAAAGUGGUGCCAAAUUGCUGAUAUCGGCACUGGUCCUUAUCUGAUAUCAGCACCAAUCCCAAUUCCUUGGGAAAUCAGCCCAAAGCAGCGCCAAAUUGCUGAUGUUGGUGCUGGUCCCAAUUCCCUGGGAAAUCAGCCCAAAGCGGUGCCGAGCUGCUGAUAUCAACACCAGUCCCAAUUCCUUGGGAAAUCAGCCCAAAACGGUGCCGAGCCGCUUUGCUCACCCCUGGCACACGAGGGUGAAGCCCCAGGCUUUGUGCGCGUUCCUCUCCCACCUCACCCCAUUUCACCCCCCAGAAAAACCCCAAAACGGGCGGAUUUGGCCCCGAUCCGGAGGCAGCAGGCGGGGGUGACGAAUGCGGUUCUCGUUUAAUAGAAAACAGUGUUAACAAAAAUACACGACGGAAAGAAACCAACGCGAGCCAAGCGCCCGCCGGCCCCCCGGGCUUAGUGUUACCGCGCAGCCCCCCCCCCCCCCCCCCAAAGCCCGGGCACGCGAUGCCCACCCCGGCCCGCGCCCUCGGCUCCCUGAUAGAUUUAUUGCACUUUUCAGAAAAAAAAAUAAUAAUAAUAAUUAUAAUUAUCCAAGCCCCGCGCGCGUUCCCCCCCCCCGCCGGCCCCUGAGAAAAGCCAGCGCCGCUCCCGGCGCGAGGAGGGCAGGGGCAGGGACGCGGCGACCCCGCUCCUCUCCCCACGGCCGCGAGCAGUGCCCUAUUUUUGUGUGUUUUUUCUUUUUUUUUUUCCCAUUUUCCAGCAGUUUUUUGUGUUUUUUUUUUUUUGCAGGCCAGGAGCAGCUCAGAGAGGUUGCAAGGUUAGCCUAGGAGGAAUUAAAUUCUACCCCGUCCUCUACAUCCCCACCCGGUUCUUUGCAGCUCACGAUAAAUAGAUACCAAAAACGAAACAAAACCGGAAAAUAAAACAAAAAAACAAAAAAAAAAGAGGAAUUUU
rnacentral:lncRNA from 1 species